AGUGAACGCUGGCGGUAGGCCUAACACAUGCAAGUCGAACGGCAGCACAGUAAGAGCUUGCUCUUACGGGUGGCGAGUGGCGGACGGGUGAGGAAUACAUCGGAAUCUACUUUUUCGUGGGGGAUAACGUAGGGAAACUUACGCUAAUACCGCAUACGACCUACGGGUGAAAGCAGGGGAUCUUCGGACCUUGCGCGAUUGAAUGAGCCGAUGUCGGAUUAGCUAGUUGGCGGGGUAAAGGCCCACCAAGGCGACGAUCCGUAGCUGGUCUGAGAGGAUGAUCAGCCACCCUGGAACUGAGACACGGUCCAGACUCCUACGGGAGGCAGCAGUGGGGAAUAUUGGCCAAUGGGCGCAAGCCUGAACCAGCCAUACCGCGUGGGUGAAGAAGGCCUUCGGGUUGUAAAGCCCUUUUGUUGGGAAAGAAAAGCAGCAGGUUAAUACCCCGCUGUUCUGACGGUACCCAAAGAAUAAGCACCGGCUAACUUCGUG
rnacentral:rRNA from 1 species